rnacentral:rRNA from 1 species
AACAACGCUGGCGGCUGCUAAUACAUGCAGUCGAACGAGAUCUUCGGAUCUAGUGGCGCACGGGUGCGUAACGCGUGGGAAUCUGCCCUUGGGUUCGGAAUAACUUCUGGAAACGGAAGCUAAUACCGGAUGAUGACGUAAGUCCAAAGAUUUAUCGCCCAAGGAUGAGCCCGCGUAGGAUUAGGUAGUUGGUGAGGUAAAGGCUCACCAAGCCGACGAUCCUUAGCUGGUCUGAGAGGAUGAUCAGCCACACUGGGACUGAGACACGGCCCAGACUCCUACGGGAGGCAGCAGUAGGGAAUAUUGGACAAUGGGCGAAAGCCUGAUCCAGCAAUGCCGCGUGAGUGAUGAAGGCCUUAGGGUUGUAAAGCUCUUUUACCCGGGAUGAUAAUGACAGUACCGGGAGAAUAGCUCCGGCUAACUCCGUGCCAGCAGCCGCGGUAAUACGGAGGGAGCUAGCGUUGUACGGAAUUACUGGGCGUAAAGCGCACGUAGGCGG